AUGGCCUGGGAUUCUCUCCUUCUCACCCUCCUUAUUUACUGCUCAGGGUCUUUGGCUCAGUCUGUCCUCACUCAGCCAUCUGUAACGUCCAAGUCUGUUGGGGAAACAGUCACAAUCUCCUGCACUGGAAGCAGCACUAAUGUUGGAUGUGGAUAUCCAUACUGGUUAUAGCAGCUCUCUGGUAGUGCUCCAAGAACACUUAUCUACAAUGCUGAUAAGAGACCAUCCGGGAUCCCAGACCGAUUCUCAGGCUCCAGGUCAGGGAACACAGCCUACCUGAGCAUCUCUGAGCUCCACACUGACGAUGAGGGUGAUUAUUUCUGCACAUCCUGGGACAACAACAUUAAUGCUUACACAGUGCUCCAGUGUGCCUUGUCUUGUAUGUCUAGGCCUCAGGCAGCAGAGGGCGCUGUGUCCUAUCCCUGCGUGUCUGUGUCCUGCAGCUGA